UUGGAGGGCAAGUCUGGUGCCAGCAGCCGCGGUAAUUCCAGCUCCAAUAGCGUAUAUUAAAGUUGUUGCAGUUAAAAAGCUCGUAGUUGAAUUUCGGGGUCAGUAGGCUGGUCGUGCCACGGGUAUGUACUGGUCUCACUGAUUCCUCCCUCCUGAUGAACCGUAAUGCCAUUAAUUUGGUGUUGCGGGGAAACUGGACUGUUACUUUGAAAAAAUUAGAGUGUUUAAAGCAGGCUAACGCUUGAAUACAUUAGCAUGGAAUAAUGAAAUAGGACGUUCGAUCCUAUUUUGUUGGUUUCUAGGAUUGACGUAAUGAUUAAUAGGGAUAGUUGGGGGCAUUAGUAUUCAAUUGUCAGAGGUGAAAUUCUUGGAUUUAUUGAAGACUAACUACUGCGAAAGCAUUUGCCAAGGAUGUUUUCAUUAAUCAAGAACGAAAGUUAGGGGAUCGAAGACGAUCAGAUACCGUCGUAGUCUUAACCAUAAACUAUGCCGACUAGGGAUCGGAUGAUGUUAAUUUUUUAAUGACUCAUUCGGCGCCUUACGGGAAA
rnacentral:rRNA from 1 species